GUGGGGUUUUGUGGUGUGGGUAGUACAGACUGUUGCUAAAAUAGGUGCUCGGAAAACAUAUACUAUUAAGGUCACUUUCUCCUUGUUAUAAUACACUGUAUAAAGAUACAUGUCACUUGUGAUUAGCUGAAUCAGAAGUUGUCUACUAGUAGAUCAAAAUAGCUAUAUGAUACCUACAAUAAAGCCACGAUUGCAACAUCAAAUCUUUACGGCUCGGAUUUAGAUCAUCGCCUAUUCCAUUUAGUAUCAUGUGGUUGAAGUGCUUCUUAGAUGCCAGGAAACCUGUCAUUGCACAUCUGUAAAAAAGGACAUUCAACCAUACAAGUUCCAGGGACAAUAUGCUUAGCGGGACUUUUUCAGACGUUUAGGAGGCCUCACUGGUUCUUUCCUUGUAUCAUCGGUGGUUUUUAAAUCCACAAAAGGCUCUUCCCAUUUCUUUUGUAGUUCCAAAAGUUCCUGACAGUAUGCAAGGCACUCGGCGUGGUAAACUGCUGCCAACUUUUUUAUCAAAGCCUUCCUUUUUAUAAUACCAAUCACUAGCAAGAAAAACAUAUUAAGAGCUGAUACAAAGAAUAAAAAACUGUAUUUUGUAUUUCACAACAAGCAAAAUAAUCUUCAAUCUCUCCCCGCAAAAAUUCCAACAAACACUCUUCACCUUAAAACUUCUUAAAAGGCUCUAUUUGAUAUUUUGGCCAAAUUCAAGUCCCACAAAAUAUAAUGAAUUCACUAAAGUAAAUAUGCAAAUAGAUAAUUCAAUAAUUCACACAGGAAACACCAUCAUCGCAGGCGUAUACCUUCAUGAUUAUAUACAAUGAAAACCGAAUCAUUGGUUCAGUGAUUUGUUCAAUAAAAGGAGAAAUCAUAUUAAAGAUAAAAAUCAUUCAUACGAAAGUUGAAGCCAGUAGAGGAAUUUCAUAUUCAGUAAUGAAAGAACCGGAAGAAAGCAGCAAAAAACCCUAAAAGGGAAAAACAAAAAAGCCCCCAAAAUCAUGAAAAAGCAAGAGAAAGCGAAAGGAAAUUACUUCGACUGGGGUCGAAGGGAGGAGGUGCUGGCGGAUCGGAUUGCAUUGAUGCAGCUUCAGCAGCAGCGGAAGCAGCGGCCGCAGGAGGAGUAGGCUGUUUCUGGUGAUGGGGCAUUGAUGAGACGAUUAGUCGAUUGUUGAAGUGGUUAUUAAGAAAGUUCGUGUUCGCCACAUAAUGACGCUAAUAAUUGUACCGUGGCCUCUGCUAUUAUGAUUUUUUGGUCAAGUCUUCAUUCUCCACCCUGAUUUUCAUCUCUGCGUGAAACAGCCAAGCCAACUACUCUUCACAGAAAACCUUUCUAUUUUUUUUUGGUGCCUUUCUAUACAAAAAUAAAAUUAUGUUAAUAGUACUAAAUAUUAUAUUUCUUACAAAUUUAAACAGUAUAAAUAAAGGUUUAAUAUCAUUUCACUUUUCUCUUCUAGAGAUUUUUCUCCU
rnacentral:misc_RNA from 1 species